GAGUUAGCCGAGGCUUAUUCGUCAGGUACCGUCAGAUCUUCUUCCCUGACAAAAGAGGUUUACAACCCAAAAGCCUUCCUCCCUCACGCGGUCUUGCUCCGUCAGGCUUUCGCCCAUUGCGGAAAAUUCCCCA
rnacentral:rRNA from 1 species